UAGGGAAUCUUCCGCAAUGGGCGAAAGCCUGACGGAGCAACGCCGCGUGAGUGAUGAAGGUCUUCGGAUCGUAAAACUCUGUUAUUAGGGAAGAACAAAUGUGUAAGUAACUAUGCACGUCUUGACGGUACCUAAUCAGAAAGCCACGGCUAACUACGUGCCAGCAGCCGCGGUAAUACGUAGGUGGCAAGCGUUAUCCGGAAUUAUUGGGCGUAAAGCGCGCGUAGGCGGUUUUUUAAGUCUGAUGUGAAAGCCCACGGCUCAACCGUGGAGGGUCAUUGGAAACUGGAAAACUUGAAUGCAGAAGAGGAAAGUGGAAUUCCAUGUGUAGCGGUGAAAUGCGCAGAGAUAUGGAGGAACACCAGUGGCGAAGGCGACUUUCUGGUCUGUAACUGACGCUGAUGUGCGAAAGCGGGGGGAUCAAACAGG
rnacentral:rRNA from 1 species